rnacentral:lncRNA from 1 species
GAGUAAGCCGGGCCGGCCCAGAGCUCAGAAAAUGAAAAACUUCCAUUGAAGUGCUUGCCUUUCUUCGAGUUGUUGACAUUGAUAGCAAUUGGGGUGCUUCUACUCAAUGUUCUGCUAUCAGACUGUGAAACUGGACUAGGUGUAUGUAUCUUGUUUGGACUAGUUGUAGUUAUCCUAGGAGGAGAACCAGAGCAUGCUCCCCGUUUGGAUACAGGAGUAGAGCAAGCCUUGGAUGGGGUUGGGAGUAUACCUGACCCGGAUUGGAAAGUCCGGCAAUUGAUCCCUCGGAAGUCCUUGGACGGCGACGGGCCGACUUGGCCCGGCCCGUGUGGCUUCCCCUGGCCAUAGUACUGGUUCUUAUGCUGCGCCACAACCAGAAGAGUCUCCAUUACAAAAGAUUCAGUGAGUCAAAGAGUACAACUCGGCCGAGUCAGUCCGAUUCUCAGAGUAAACGAUCUACUUCUACAACUCAGCCCCAAAAUGCUAAAAGAUUACAGCUUUACGGUAAGAAUCGCAGGAAAAUCAGUCCAAUCGAAGACCCAGAUCCCGAUCAGAUUCAGAUCAGAAAAAGCACCUAUUUCGCUGUAAAUCGAAAGAUCAUAACUGAAAAUUAGAUCUAAGAACUGCGUAAAAAUGAUUACCCCAAACACGAAAUACACAAAACCCAUGAAAAUUAAACAUUCAAAUCGAAAACCCAUGAUUAUUUUCUCGAGAAAGUGAUGGAAAAUUACCAAAUCGAGCGAGAAAAUUCUCACUUGGACCACAAAGGCAGUAAUCACCUCUCAAUCUUUGCUCUGCUUCUGGUUCUCGAGCACUGGUUUUUCGGGGAUCGGAGUGAAAUGGGGAAUUGAGCCCCGGAGAGGAGAAAGGGAGAGGGAGAGAGAAAGGUACAAGGAGGAGAGACGAAGAAAGCACAAAAAAUGGCUGUCUACAGUUGUAGUAUAUAACAAACGUACACUACUACUGUGGUACAGUACAGCCCCAUAUGGCACAGCCCAGUUGACUAUUUUACCCCUUGAAAUUUCCUUUUUGGGCGAACAAAAUCAAAGUCUAUAAAAAUCCUCUCUUAACGUUCAAAGUUGUACUGCUAAUUUGCUUCUUUGUUAGCCACUGUAGUAUGAAAUAUUGUGCUAAUUUUACCCAAAAAAAAAGAAAUAUUGUGCUAAUACGACUUUUAUGUGUGUCUGCAAACAAUACGAGUAGUUGGCUCAGUUUGUUUUAUUUGUCAUAUGUUAACAAUCUUAACUAUUAAACGAUUAAAAUGACUUUGAGAUCCGAAAGUAUACUUUCGUUUUAAUCUUCUAGUUCAUAUUAUGAAAAAAUAUACAUAUAAAAUGCUUCUAGUUCCUUAUAAUCCUAAUUUAGUUUAUGAAAUGUAAUUUUUUAGGGAGGAACGAAGGUAAAAUAUAUACAUAAAAAAAAAGUAUUUGUCAGUUUGUCUUUCAAACUUGUACAAAGUUGCUAAUUUUUCUUUAAACUUUAAUUUUAGUCGAUUGACUACCUGAACUAUUAUAAUUAGCCAAUUUCCUCCUGAACUUUAAUUGUACCCCUAAAAUUUUAUAAAUAACUAAUUUCCCCUACAUAGAUUUUAAAAUUCUUCAUUAAUUUCCCCUACAUAGAUUUUAAAAUUCUUCAUCCAAUUUUCACGUAUCCAAUUUGUCAUUCUUUUGCCCACAUAUAGUUGUCAUGUGUUGUCCGCGUGAUCAAAAUGAAUAAAAAAUUUAAAAUCUAGCAUCAGGAGAAAAUGGGUUGUUUAUAAAAGUUCAAGGGAUAAAUGGCUCAAAUUAAAGUUCAAGGAGAAAAUCGGCUAAUAAUAAAAAAUUGGGAAGUAAUUAACUAAAAUUAAAGUUCAAAAGAAAAUUAAUAGCUCUAUAUA